GAUGAAAUCCAGAUAGAGGAAUCACAUGAUCCUCAUGCAAGGACCAAACACAUGGUAAAGCUGUAAAGAGCUGCAAGAAUCUGAAAGCAUCCUCAGAAUAGAGAAGUCAAAGGACAAUACGUCAUCACAAUCACAAUCAUAUCUACAAAACGGAGCUACCUGGUCUCCUCUCUUGUCCCCAUCCGCACAUGCAGCUGCUAGCUAGUCAGGUGCUAUCGUCAGUGGCUGCCGCCAGUGUUUACCAUGCACACCUCUUGUUUUGGACGCAGUGCUAUAAGACAAGCCAUGACCGACUUACACCACACCAUCUCAGAGGUGGACUACUCUGACACACUGAUAGUACACUAUCCCAGCAACCCCCCAACCUGGUCCCAUCAACUUUUUGGUACCAAGGAAAUGCUUUAUAUCAAGUUCCCGUUCCGUUUACAUAGUAC